GACAGAGGGUGCAAACGUUGUUCGGAAUUACUGGGCGUAAAGCGCGUGUAGGCGGCCCUGCAAGUCGGGUGUGAAAUCCCACGGCUCAACCGUGGAAGUGCAUUCGAAACUGCAGGGCUAGAGUCCUGGAGAGGAAGGUGGAAUGCUUGGUGUAGCGGUGAAAUUCGUAGAUAUCAAGCGGAACACCGGUGGCGAAGGCGGCCUUCUGGACAGUGACUGACGCUGAGACGCGAAAGCGUGGGGAGCAAACAGG
rnacentral:rRNA from 1 species